rnacentral:rRNA from 1 species
CAGUCGCCGCGGUAAUACGUAGGGUGCAAGCGUUAAUCGGAAUUACUGGGCGUAAAGCGUGCGCAGGCGGUUAUAUAAGUCAGAUGUGAAAUCCCCGGGCUCAACCUGGGAACUGCAUUUGAGACUGUAUGGCUAGAGUGUGUCAGAGGAGGGUAGAAUUCCACGUGUAGCAGUGAAAUGCGUAGAUAUGUGGAGGAAUACCGAUGGCGAAGGCAGCCCCCUGGGAUAACACUGACGCUCAUGCACGAAAGCGUGGGGAGCAAACAGGAUUAGAUACCCGAGUAGUCCCUGUCUCUUAUAC